UAUCGAGCUAGAGGUCGAGGCUGGCCGCGAUGCAGAUGACGCCGGGCACGGCGGUGGCGUCCUCCGGCCAGAUCAAGUCGAGGAGGCGCGGCAGGGGCCGGAUCCGGUGGCGGGGACGGCGUGGAGGCGAUAUAGGAGACGCGGGAGGAGGUCCAGCGGCGGGGCUUGAACUCCAAGUUCAUGGCAGCGGUGUUCCUCGCCGGUUCCAAGCGAGAUGCCGAGUUCUGGUUGGGUCUCUCCAUGGCGACGGUGGCGGGGCGCGACGAGAGGCCGGGAGGUCCUGGCGGUGCCCGGCCCCUGCGCGGGGGGUGGGGGAUGAGGUGCACGGCGGCAGGCGGCAUCAACUCUCCUGCGUGCGGCCAGAAAGAGAGAGAGAGAGAGAUGAGAGAGAGAGAGAGCCAGGAGGAAGAAGGGAAGGAAGGAGGCUUGAGGAAGGGGCGGCCGGAUCCUGCGAGGCUGGGUUGGAGCCCCGGUGGUCGUGCUGCUGCUGUUGGACGGCGGCCGAUGGCCGAUGGGACAAGUCGCUAGGUAAGAGGAAAAACAUGUGCUGCAUUGGCACAUUUGAUGCAGAGUGGACACUGUAAGUUUCUCCUCCUUAUCUACUUUGUAUUCAGAUUCCUCUCCCUUCUCUAAUUAUUAUUGAGAUAUUCCAUUGCUAUUUGAUGGAGAGCAGUCACCAAAAGUUCCUCUUUUGAUGCACAGCGGCCACCGAAAACAGUUAUCUUUCUCUCUCUAAUUGAUUCUCAGCUACAGAAUGAUGUGUGUGUGUUUGUGUGUUACUUGCUAAUGUGAUGGCUAAUGCAUGUGGAUUGAUUCAUGAAUUAGCAAAAUAUUUCCCGUGAGAUGUGAUAAUAUAGAAAUUUGAUGUUUACAGUGCCCUCUACUUGUUUGUUGUUAUGCCUAUAAGAGAUUAUCUUUUUUCAUUUUUUUAAAUAGAAAAGCACAAUACGGUUGAUCUAGGCCGGUCCGUGGACGGCAAGAAUGCCCAGAUGACCACCAUGCCCAGCCACGACAGGGCGAUGUACUUAUCUGGUGAUGCCUGUGUGUGGGUCUGGACUUGCUUCGGUCCGGAUACACCAUACUGUGUUGGAUGACAUGGAUGGGUGGUGCCCGAGUUGAAGAUGGAUUGUUGUUUCUACACUAGACGACGUGGACGGUUGGGAUUGAUCACAUUUGUGGUGAAUAGGUGGAUAAUUGGCCGUCAUCAGCGAUUAUAUGAGGAAAACCAGAAGUGGCAACACAAAUAGAGUGCCUAAUGCGUGUAAGGAACUUUUUACCCGUUGCAACGCGCGGGCAUUGACUUAUAUUUAGGAAUGGAGGGAGUAUAUGCCAUGUCUGUCCUUAUCACACUUUGUAUGAUAACACAAGCAGCCCUUCUGAACGAAUUUGGUUUGAAAGUAAAAUAUUGUGCUCCUGUGAUAUAGCCUUUAUUCUCCUCUGUUAUGAUUUUUUUCAGGUAGAAUAUUGAUCCCUUGGCAUCUCCUACUCUUGAAAUUAGGUGCAGCAGCAAUAUUUGUGGUGAGUACAACAUGAACUACACUUUCAUAUGGUUCAUCGCCUUCUUCGAGAGCAUAUUGAUCAAGAAGUGGACUAUAAGGUGAUUGUUUUCUGCACAGCAGCCAUGGUGACUGAAUUUAUGUAUAUAAUGCUUCGAGAUCUGAAACUAAACGUCAUAGAGAUAAAUUUAGGAAAGCCUCAGCUUUAUAGGACACGUGUAUCUGAAGAGUUACGGGAUUCCAAUCGCCUGAUUCUGGUAACAUCAGAUGUUUCAACACGUGGAGUGAAUUAUCCAGAUGUUACCCCGCCCAUUGGGAAGAUCCUAUGUCACAGCCAUCGGCCUUGUGUCUGGAGCCCCUUGCAGGUGUACUACCGGCACAAAGUGUCCAGCGCGGGCAGCACAAGGAAUUUGGUUUGGGCCCUCGUCUGUAGGUCAUGACGGCUGAUGUUGUCCUCUUCUGCUAUGAUUUUGAUGUUAAAUCCUUUCCUCCAAGGUAAUCAGACAAAUCACCUUCAUAUAUACAACUUUGUUUCUCCCCAUGUUUCACUCACCCCCUACAAUAUUUCGUGGAAUUUGUGAGCUUUCUUCUGCAUCCACUUGCAGGUCAAACGUUGUGUGAUACACCAACGGAUGUAUUUAUGCAGGAAAUUGAUGUUCUGGUAUUGUAGCUUAUUUUCACAAUUUUGAAAUGGCAUGAUUUUGUUGAUAUAGGUAAUUGGUGUAGAAAAUAUAAUGAUUGUAUGCUCAGUUUUAGUAUCAUGAUGCUAUCAUACCCAUAGUUGUGUUCUGCAUCUUUUUUAGUUAUGUUCUUUCAGCUAGGCUUCUGGUGGAAGUAUAGAGGUCAUUUGGUUUAGAAAAUUAUAGCAUGAUAUAGUAAUGUUUUUGUCUUGUGAGAGAUUUUUACAUUGUUCUGGAUUUGGAAAGCUGGUUGAAAUAAUGGAGAUGACAUUCUGCGUACAUAUUAAAGAUGCUAAUGAAUGUUCUUUCUUUUCUCAAUGCAGGAGACCUGAGUUGGAUUGGGCUCAUGCCACAUUGAUUGAGAAGAUUGUAUACCUCACAUAUUGCACGAAACCUACUGAUGCCACCUGCUGUUGCCACAUCAAUUUCAUAUAGACUGACAAGCUUAUCCUGAAUAACAGGUAGAUGGUGAAAAGCAAUGACAGAAAACAGCACCUUUCUGUUUCUCAAGCUCACAGAAGACUUAUUUUAACUACUGGCUUGAUUCGGUGUCUCCUUCCUGUUCUGCCAACAAGACAUCUUGCACUAAAAUUAACUGAUUUUGUGAAAUCAUUGUGUACAGCAUUUGUAAACUGGUGCGUAGUGGUAUGUUUGACCCAGCUCAUAUCUUUUGUCAGUGACACUAAUGACUUCUUGCAAAGUGAAGACAUGUAACCAUUUUUUGGUUUUAA